AUUGAACGCUGGCGGCAGGCCUAACACAUGCAAGUCGAGCGGAUGAAGGGAGCUUGCUCCUGGAUUCAGCGGCGGACGGGUGAGUAAUGCCUAGGAAUCUGCCUGGUAGUGGGGGAUAACGUCCGGAAACGGGCGCUAAUACCGCAUACGUCCUUAUGGAGAAAGUUGGGGAUCUUCGGACCUCACGCUAUCAGAUGAGCCUAGGUCGGAUUAGCUAGUUGGUGGGGUAAAGGCCUACCAAGGCGACGAUCCGUAACUGGUCUGAGAGGAUGAUCAGUCAAACUGGAACUGAGACACGGUCCAGAAUACUAAGGGAGGCAGCAGUGGGGAAUAUUGGACAAUGGGCGAAAGCCUGAUCCAGCCAUGCCGCGUGUGUGAAGAAGGUCUUCGGAUUGUAAAGCACUUUAAGUUGGGAGGAAGGGAAGUAAGUUAAUACCUUGCUGUUUUGACGUUACCAACAGAAUAAGCACCGGCUAACUUCGUG
rnacentral:rRNA from 1 species